GCGGCGGACGGGUGAGUAACACGUGGGUAACCUACCCAUAAGACUGGGAUAACUCCGGGAAACCGGGGCUAAUACCGGAUAAUAUUUUGAACUGCAUAGUUCGAAAUUGAAAGGCGGCUUCGGCUGUCACUUAUGGAUGGACCCGCGUCGCAUUAGCUAGUUGGUGAGGUAACGGCUCACCAAGGCAACGAUGCGUAGCCGACCUGAGAGGGUGAUCGGCCACACUGGGACUGAGACACGGCCCAGACUCC
rnacentral:rRNA from 1 species